UACGUAGGGUGCGAGCGUUAAUCGGAAUUACUGGGCGUAAAGCGUGCGCAGGCGGUUCGUUGUGUCGGCGGUGAAAGCCCCGGGCUCAACCUGGGAAUGGCCGUUGAAACUGGCGAACUGGAGUGUGGCAGGAGGGGGGUGGAAUUCCGCGUGUAGCAGUGAAAUGCGUAGAGAUGCGGAGGAACACCGAUGGCGAAGGCAGCCCCCUGGGCUGACACUGACGCUCAGGCACGAAAGCGUGGGAGCAAACAGG
rnacentral:rRNA from 1 species